ACUUCGGGUCCCCGCUGACCCGCCUUCUCCCCGCACCGCCGGACAGGGACCCAGGCUCUUGUUGAUGCUGCGUCUCAGCUCCGGAGCUGACUAAGGCUUUGGAACAGAAACCAGAUGAUGCACAGUAUUAUUGUCAAAGAGCUUAUUGUCACAUUCUUCUUGGGAAUUACUGUGUUGCUGUUGCUGAUGCAAAGAAGUCUCUAGAACUCAAUCCAAAUAAUUCCACUGCUAUGCUGAGAAAAGGAAUAUGUGAAUACCAUGAAAAAAACUAUGCUGCUGCCCUAGAAACUUUUACAGAAGGACAAAAAUUAGAUAGUAAGUAUUAAAAAUUAUACUUUAAUAAACUUAUCUAUUUCUGUCUUAAAUACCAAAGCUGAAUUUUGGUAAUGUUAAUUUCAA
rnacentral:lncRNA from 1 species